AGUACUUCGGUAUGUAAAGUUCUUUUAUUGAAAAAGAAAAAAUAGUGGAAAAACUAUCUUGACAUUAUUCAAUGAAUAAGCCCCGGCUAAUUAUGUGCCAGCAGCCGCGGUAAUACAUAAGGGGCGAGCGUUAUCCGGAAUUAUUGGGCGUAAAGGGUGCGUAGGCGGUUUGAUAAGUCUAUAGUUUAAAUGCAGUGCUUAACGCUGUAGCGCUAUAGAAACUGUCUGACUAGAGUUAGAUAGAGGCAAGCGGAAUUCCAUGUGUAGCGGUAAAAUGCGUAAAUAUAUGGAGGAACACCAGAGGCGUAGGCGGCUUGCUGGGUCUUAACUGACGCUGAGGCACGAAAGCGUGGGGAGCAAACAGGAUUAGAUACCCUGGUAGUCCAUGCCGUAAACGAUGAGUACUAAGUGUCGGGUUUCGGCUCGGUACUGAAGUUAACACAUUAAGUACUCCGCCUGAGUAGUACGUACGCAAGUAUGAAACUUAAAGGAAUUGACGGGACCCCGCACAAGCGGUGGAUCAUGUUGUUUAAUUCGAAGAUACACGAAAAACCUUACCAGGUCUUGACAUAAUUUUGCGACAUUAUAGAAAUAUAAUGAAGGUUAUCAGAAUUACAGGUGGUGCAUGGUUGUCGUCAGCUCGUGUCGUGAGAUGUUAGGUUAAGUCCUAAAACGAGCGCAACCCUUGUCGUUAGUUGCGACCACGUAAUGGUGAGCACUUUAGCGAGACUGCCAAUGAAAAAUUGGAGGAAGGUGAGGAUUACGUCAAAUCAUCAUGCCCCUUAUGAUCUGGGCUACAAACGUGAUACAAUGGCUGUUACAAAGAGUAUCCUGAAAAAGUUUAUUUUUU
rnacentral:rRNA from 1 species